rnacentral:lncRNA from 1 species
AGAGACAAUAUGACCAUCGAGACAGGGCAGAGACAAUAUGACCAUCAGAACAUAUGACCAGUCAGAGACAAUAGGACCAGUCAGAGACAAUAUGACCAGUCAGAGACAUUGACCAGCAGAGACAAUAUGACCAGUCAUAGACAGGGGCAGAGACAAUAUGACCAGUCAGAGACAAUAUGACCAGUCAGAGACAGGGCAGAGACAAUAUGACCAGUCAGAGACAGGGCAGAGACAAUAUGACCAGUCAGAGACAAUAUGACCAGUCAGAGACAGGGCAGAGACAAUAUGACCAGUCAGAGACAAUAUUACCAGUCAGAGACGGGCAGAGAAAUAUGACAGUCAGGACAGGGCAAGACAAUUGACCAGUCAGAGACAAUAUGACCAGUCAGAGACGGGCAGAGACAAUAUGACCAGUCAGAGACAAUAUGACCAGUCAGGACAGGCAGAGACAAUAUGACAGGUCAAGACAAUAUGACAGUCAGAGAAAAUUGACCAGUCAGAGACAGGCAGUCAAGUCUGAAGGUUUCAUGUAGUAGAGGAUGAAACGAUUAAUGAACUAGCGAGUAGAGUUGGAAAGUUAAAACACAACAUUGGGAUUGUGAAUUUAAAA